UGUGAAAUAUAGUGGGAGUAACUUUCACUUCCCUUUACUUUUUCAUCUCACCCGAGCACGGUUACUCUCUGUUGUCUCUGUUUCAUUUUCUGAACUUUUUUUUUUGUUUCCCCUCCUUAGUGAAUAGUCAUGUCCAAACCAUCGUGCCUGGUUCUGAAGAACUUCAUAGGUGGAAAGUUUGUCCCAGGUCGGCGCCACAUUGAAUCAUACGACCCGUCUACUGGGGAAGUGUACUGCAAAGUACCUGACAGCAGCAAAGAGGAGGUGGAGGCUGCUGUGGCUGCAGCUAAAGAUGCCUUCCCAGACUGGUCCGCCCGCAGCUCUGAGCAGCGAGCCAAGAUCCUCAACAAGCUGGCGGACCUGAUCGAGGCCCACUUGGAGGAGUUUGCCCAAGCUGAGUCCAGAGACCAAGGUAAAACCAUUACAUUUGCCCGAACUGUGGACAUUCCACGCUCGGUGUACAACUUUCGUUUCUUUGCAUCGUCGGUGCUUCACCACACCAACGACUGCAGCCAGAUGGACCACAUGGGCUGCCUCAACUACACCAUCCGCUGCCCCGUGGGAGUAGCUGGUCUGAUCAGCCCUUGGAAUCUCCCUCUCUACCUGCUGACCUGGAAGAUCGCUCCUGCCAUUGUGACUGGAAACACAGUGGUGGCCAAACCCAGUGAGAUGACGUCAGUGACGGCCUGGAUGAUGUGCAAGUUAAUGCAGGAGGCUGGAGUUCCUCCAGGAGUGGUCAACAUCGUAUUCGGCACAGGUCCCACAGCAGGUGACGCUCUUGUUGGCCAUCCUGAGGUCCCUCUCAUCUCCUUCACUGGUUCCACACUGACUGCCCAGCGCAUUACAGAGCGCUGUGCCCCCUACUGUAAGAAACUUUCACUGGAGCUGGGAGGUAAAAACCCUGCUGUUGUUUUUGCUGAUGCAGACCUGGACAAGUGCAUCGAGACCACGGUUCGUUCCAGUUUCUCCAACCAGGGAGAAAUCUGUUUGUGCACCAGUAGAAUAUUUGUAGAGAGAAGUAUCUACCCUGAGUUCUUAGAAAGAUUUGUGGUCGCAGCCAAGAAGUGGAAGACGGGUGUACCCUCUGACCCUGCCAACAACAAUGGAGCUCUCAUCAGUAAAGAGCACUUAGAAAAGGUUCGCAGCUUUGUGGCAGUCGCUAAAUCUGAGGGUGCUACCAUCCACUGUGGGGAGGGAGUGGACCACCUGGACCUGCCCCAGGAGAACAAGUCAGGCUACUACAUGCCGGCCACUGUCAUCUCAGGGGUCUCUGACAGCUCCCAUGUGAUGCAGGAGGAGAUCUUUGGCCCCGUCACCUGUGUCAGUCCCUUUGACACGGAGGAUGAAGCCGUCCGCAGGGCCAACGGAGUGCGUUAUGGCCUCGCAGCCACCGUGUGGUCAAAAGAUGUGGGGAAAGUCCAUCGGCUGGCCAAGCAGCUCCAGGCAGGACCUUUGUGUGGGCACACACCUCCUCACCUUACUCGUCCUUUUGUUUUGUGGCUCCUUCCUGCGUUGCGAUUGGUCCACCGGAGACACACCACCUCCUGGAGCUGAGCCACAACGCAUCGGACAUAUCACAGAGCACACAAACAGGGCCGGCCUCUACUCCCUACAAGAGCUCCUGCGACUGUCAAGGCACGCCAAGACCAGUCAGUCACCGAGUAGUUUAACCAGACCGCCCGUCUGCAGACCUCAUCUGCGCACCCAUUGGUUAAAGGGAAGUCCUGCGCAGCCAAUGAACUCGCGAUGAGGUUUUAUGGCCCGACUGGACUGAAAGUACGUGAAUGAUGAUGAAGUUGUGAACUACAGGCACCAGGUCAGGAGUGAGACCAGUUACUGUGGAAACAGAGGACACGUCAUGGGUGAGCGCCGUGACAGUGCUCACCCCGGCCAACAGACAGGAGGGACGGGAGACAAACAACAACAACAAGUGUCCCGAAUCUAUUUGUCAGAAGGCUGUCACCUGGUGGAAAAAUCAUCCUUUCAGUCGUCAUCCCCAGAAUUCUGCAAAGAAGGAAUUCUGUGAUGAAAACACUGCUUGAAGGAAGUGACUUAAAUGGAGGAAUCACAAACUGAUGAAGCCCCUUGGAUGAGAGACGAAACAUCUUCAAUUUACUUGAGACCGACUGGUGACUGAGACGGCGCCUCACCUCCACCCUUUUUUGCUACAACAGAUGCCCUGACAUACCAUUCACAUUCCACAUCAAAUAGGACGACUCCAAAAAGUUUGAAGACAAAUUGUGUGUUGUUUCUGGUGUGACUGAUGAAGUCCUGAGUGAUGUGGUUUGUUGAAGCAUAUUUAUGGAGUUGUGGCAUCAACUGUUUGAACCAUUGCCUUCUAUUUUCCAGGUUGUUAUUGUCCACAAUUACAACCUAUAAAAAUAUUUGAUUCAAUCUGCAAUCUUUGGUCAACAUUUUUACAUUUCUUUUAUUACUCUGUCUAGGUUAUUUAUAUUUAAUAUAGCACUUUACACCCACUAUCUUCACUUUUGCACUUGGUGCUGCAAAUGCUUACAUUUAAGAAUUUUUUUUCUAUUGCUAAAACCUAAAUAUAUUUCUCUUGUUGCAUUUGAAAUCCUCCUACAGGAGCAGCAGUAAUGGCAGUUAGUUCCCCCUGGGGAUCAAUAAAGUAUUAAUCUACAAAAAUCACCCAUCAAUUUCUGUCAUUUUAGAAAUGUUUCAUUUUUGGUCGUUCUCCUCUUGUCCCGUUGACUUUUGACCCCUGCGUAGCUGCACUUUUGUCACCAUGGGGGUUUCUGAGUUAAAUCAUUGGUGUGGCGCCAGAUAGGAAGCAGCUGACCGCUGUGCGGGAAAUGGACAAUAAAGGACACACUGAACCUCAGGCUACAAGUGUGUGUUUGCGUGUGUAAAUAUGCAGGCCAUUGUUUUCUAUGGUGCCAUUUAAGGAGGUAGCGUAGAGUGAAUUCCCAUCUUACAUUCAUGACUUGA